ACAUACGAUAAUCCUUACCUUUUCUUUGUGUUUAUUUGGGGCAUGGAGGGCAAAUUGGAACAUGAUAAUUGGAGUUCCUCUGAUACACCAUUAAUAUUUCUGUGCAAUGAAGACUUGCAAUGCCCUGAUUGCUCCUGUCUUAU